CUGUUAGUGUGCUGUGUGUGAGGGUGUUGUGUGUUUGUAAAGGUGCUGUGUGUGUGUGUGAGGGUGCUGUAUGUGUGUGGGUGCUGUAUGUUUGGAGGAUUGUGGAGGUGGGGGCAGAUUAGUAAAUAUCCCCCCUCCCUUCUUACCUUAUGUAGGGAGGGGGGAUCCUUGCUGCCAUGUGCCAUCCCUGGUGGUCCAGUGGAGAGUGAACUCUAGCCUGCGGGGCUAGAGUUAACUCUC